rnacentral:rRNA from 1 species
GAUGAACGCUGGCGGCGUGCCUAAUACAUGCAAGUCGAGCGAACAGAUAAGGAGCUUGCUCCUUUGACGUUAGCGGCGGACGGGUGAGUAACACGUGGAUAACCUACCUAUAAGACUGGGAUAACUUCGGGAAACCGGAGCUGAUACCGGAUAACAUAUUGAACCGCAUGGUUCAAUAGUGAAAGGCGGCUUUGCUGUCACUUAUAGAUGGAUCCGCGCCGUAUUAGCUAGUUGGUAAGGUAACGGCUUACCAAGGCAACGAUACGUAGCCGACCUGAGAGGGUGAUCGGCCACACUGGAACUGAGACACGGUCCAGACUCCUACGGGAGGCAGCAGUAGGGAAUCUUCCGCAAUGGGCGAAAGCCUGACGGAGCAACGCCGCGUGAGUGAUGAAGGUCUUCGGAUCGUAAAACUCUGUUAUCAGGGAAGAACAAAUGUGUAAGUAACUGUGCACAUCUUGACGGUACCUGAUCAGAAAGCCACGGCUAACUACGUG